GAUGAACGCUGGCGGCGUGCCUAAUACAUGCAAGUCGAGCGAACGGACGAGAAGCUUGCUUCUCUGAUGUUAGCGGCGGACGGGUGAGUAACAAGUGGAUAACCUACCUAUAAGACUGGGAUAACUUCGGGAAACCGGAGCCAAUACCGGAUGAUAUUUUGAACCGCAUGGUUCAAAAGUGAAAGACGGUCUUGCUGUCACUUAUAGAUGGUUCCGCGCUGCAUUAGCUAGUUGGUAAGGUAACGGCUUACCAAGGCAACGAUGCAUAGCCGACCUGAGAGGGUGAUCGGCCACACUGGAACUGAGACACGGUCCAGACUCCUACGGGAGGCAGCAGUAGGGAAUCUUCCGCAAUGGGCGAAAGCCUGACGGAGCAACGCCGCGUGAGUGAUGAAGGUCUUCGGAUCGUAAAACUCUGUUAUUAGGGAAGAACAUAUGUGUAAGUAACUGUGCACAUCUUGACGGUACCUAAUCAGAAAGCCACGGCUAACUACGUG
rnacentral:rRNA from 1 species